UACUCUACACAACACACACCAGCUCUUGAAAAAGGAAAUAGAGCAUCCAAGGACCACGUUUUUAGGAGUAGAGUGUCUAGACAUCACAUUCAGAGCCUUUACCAUAAGGAGAUGGCUGCCAGAAAGAAUUAAUACCAUACCUGCCCCAUGCAUGUGGACCUCCAAAACAGAAGUAAACGUUGUUUACUGCUAACCGGAAUCAUUUCCCCCAAUGACAGCAAAGAGCACGGAUGCCUGCCCCACUGGUGGAUAAUUACAGCAACACUUUGUUUUAGCAGAGUGGAGAUAGCGUCACAGCAGGAUAAAGAGGGCUGGAAUCCCUAACUCUGAUGGCCCAAUCCUGGGUCUCCCACGCCUAGCUCUCUCUUCUCUCAAGCUAGCCACUUAACCUCUUUUUGGAAGCCAGCUUCCUCCAAUGAGACCUGCUCACAUGUACUUCUUGUCUGAACACCAGAUAAGGCAGAUGCUGCACAGAGGCAGUAGCCACAGCCUAAUCUACAGUGCAAAAGUGCUAUCCAGAAGCCCCGUGUGCCCCAGGGUUUCCUAAAUCACACAGCUUCAGCAACUCCCCAUCAAUGUUGAAGGCUGUAGCCAGACCCAGACCCUUCCUUGUGUUGAAACCCAGCCCUUUGCUGGCUGUGGGCUCAUUAGUGAUGGACCUUGGGACUUGUAAAAAGGGUGGAUUUACUUUUCUUUAUAUCUCUAUAUUGGUAGA